rnacentral:lncRNA from 10 species
CCAGAGGAUCUUGAAAAUGUUCGUAAUCUUGGAGUCUCAAUUCCCCACGUAUAUAAAAUGAGUUUAAGGCAGAAAAUGGGGAGGCCUCUCUGCAUGAAUGGUUCCUCGCGGACACGACCCUCCCGGUGCUGUUCAGCGGCUGCCCUGCCUGCGGAGACCCUCCUCUGGUGGAGAAGCAUAAUGUGCCUUUCAUGCCUUUUGCACUUUGGGGCUUCAUCAGGAAAAGAUGACCUUACUCAGUUAAAAAAAAUCCUCUUCAUCAGAUGUGCAGUAGCUGUGAAACAUCAAGAAGAACACAUGCCAUUGAAGGGUGACACCUGAAUUACCUGCCAUUUUCUAUUUUUCAAAACAGUCUCAGCCAAAAGGCUAGAAGUGAAUAAAUAAUUCUACCACGACUCCUCUAAAUAAGAUUUUAGCACUCUGUUAUUUGCUUCGAACAG